ensembl:lncRNA
AAUCAAUAUUAUGUCAAGGUUUAUUCCAUAUCUUCAUUAAUGAUCCAGAACUAUAGUGAGCAUCAGAGAAGACUGACAUAUAAAACAAAGGCAUUGAGAAGGCGUGAUUAACGUUUAAACACAAUAGUUGUUGCCAUAAGAAUUAUGUCAAGUUGCUGGAUGAUCCUUACCAGUCCUUCUGAUAGAACUCUUCCCUAUGGAGCAAAAGAUGCCGGAGCGCUUCAUUUACUCUAGGAGAACUGCUGUGCCCGGAAACCCAAACAACAAGGCUGUGCCACAGAAACUGUCUCACAUUCUUUCUGCUUAAGCUCUGAUGAUAUUGAUGGCUUAUGACUCAAAGGGAACUAAAAGAAAAGCCUUUUCAUAUGUUGGAUUUGAUCGCAAAGGAGGUGAAGGGUGUUUCCUUUCAGGCUACUGCUGCAGCCAGCAAAGAGGUACCAUACAACCCUGCUGUGUGGCCCUGCUGAAUCACAUGAGAAGAACCUGGCACCAGAACACUUCACAAGCUCCCGAAAAGUUGGUGCAUUGCAAUGGGACAAAAUGCCAGGCUACAGUGGCUACUGCUAGUGCAACUCAAAAUGAUGCUGCUGGCUCAGACUGCUGUAAACCCCCAAGAGUCACAGUAUUUCUAGCUUUUUUUAGUCCCUGAGGCAGUGCAGAGUAAGGACUGAAGUCCUCUCUAUUUCCAUCUGUUUGGGAACCCCAGGUUUUAUCAUGUGUUUCCCAGUGAUGCUACGCAAAAACUGAACUCAUUCCCUUGGUGUGCAAUUUGUUUAUGCUGUACCUUUAUUUCUAACAUGAGAGCCUUCCAGAAACACUUUGCACAGCCUCCUACCCACACAUGUCAGUUAUUAUCAUUCCUUCCUACAAAAGCAUCUCCAUUGCUUGAAGAUUAUUUAAAACAAAACACAACAUUUGCCUGAGGGCUUAAGCAAUAGUGAUUAUAUUACAAUGCCCUUUCUUCAUUACGUUGCUUUCCAUUUAAGUGAAGGAUUAACUUUAAAUUGUUUUAUUUGGUUUCAGAAGAUCUCUACAGUGAGGAACAUUCAGGAUCUCCAUCUACAGCCUUGUCCUGACAUAAGGCUUGUAGGAUGUGCCACAUUCUCCCUCUUCCCAUCUGUUUCAGCCCCUUGCUCUUCUUAAAAAACAGUCCUCCCCCUCAGGCAUUUUAUCCUGCCUUCCCUUUUUUUACAUUUUGGAAUGCAUUGGCUUUGGAGAGGGUUCUUAAUUUUGUCACUGUGGUUAUUUGUUYUUUCAUGUUUUUACUAAUCAGUCUCCCUGCUCCUGACUAUUACGGGAGUAUUAUAUGUCUUUUCUGUGUUGGAAAUAUAGGCAUAAAGGUAUAAAUGACUUGUUCAAGGUCACAAAGAGAGUUCUUUCAAUCAAACUAAGGCUUCCUGAAUAUCAGGUACUUACAGAAAAGAUCGUCCUUCUGUAAGAAAUUAAUGCAUAAGAGUCUACAGUCCUGAGAAGGUACGUUAGAAAAUGAAAUGGAAAACAUUUAAUUAUUGUCCUCCUUUCAUGCUCUUUUGAAGAGUAAAACAGACCAACGUGUACGGCUUAUGUAGCUCUACAACAAACACAAAUUUAAGUGAAAACUAACAUAACCAACUGUAUAAAAGAUAGUACAUUUGAGGUUACCUCUGUGACCUUCCUUAUGGUAUAUAGGACUGCACUUACAAAACAAGCUUGGUAAGCUAUUUAAAGCUAUAUGCUUGAAAUAAACUUUGUCUUUUGGAGUUGUUUAUUCCUCA